rnacentral:rRNA from 1 species
UAUAGCCCUCGGUGCAAUGCCGCCAGCCCGGACCGAGGACCGCGCUUCGGCUAGGAUGCUGGCGUAAUGGUUGUAAGCGACCCGUCUUGAAACACGGACCAAGGAGUCUAACAUCUAUGCGAGUGUUUGGGUGUCAAACCCAUACGCGUAAUAAAAGUGAACGGAGGUGAGAACCCUUAAGGGCGCAUCAUCGACCGAUCCAGAUGUCUUCGGAUGGAUUUGAGUACGAGCAUAGCUGUUGGGACCCGAAAGAUGGUGAACUAUGCCUGAAUAGGGUGAAGCCAGAGGAAACUCUGGUGGAGCUCGCAGCGGUUCUGACGUGCAAAUCGAUCGUCAAAUUUGGGUAUAGGGGCGAAAGACUAAUCGAACC